GUUAAUAGGACGCUAACGAAGCAUAGCCUUUCCGAAGCAUAGCUGGCAGCAUUACCACCCAUCUGUGCCGAGUGGGAUGUGCAAGCAGAAGUCAGGGCUGAAAACCCUCCACCUGUUUUCAGAAAGUGAUUUGACACUCAGUGUUAAUUCAGAUCAUCCAGAGUGACAGGUACAUGCUCUUCAGGAACUCCUGUUCUGCUUAAGAAAAAGAAAACUUUCAUCUGAAGCACACUAAUAAUUGUUGCAAAGUAAGAAGGCCCUACAGUGACCUUACUGUUGGCUGAUUCCAGAGAGCCACCUCAUUAUUCUGAGUUGAAAUUUCUCAAUCUCCAAAAUCAGAGGGAUGCCUGCCUCAAAAGCAUCACUGCCCUUAGACAAGAUAUGGAAGUAGGAGCGAGUCUGUUUAUAGGCUGCACAUGAUUCAGUAUGACUUGAAGUGCUCCCCUGCGAAAACCACAAUUUCACUUGGGUUUGAUGAGCAUGCCAUGAUGGCAUUCUAAAGGUAGGUUUACCUUUUGAAAUGAUUGAAGAGUAGAAAUAGACUGUGUACUCUUAGCAGGGAGCAACUUCUGAUACCAAAUUUUGCAGUCUAGAACUGGGGUUUUGUUGUGUUUUGAGGUUUCUUCUAAAACGGUGGUCUUUUCAGUCAGCAGAAAAAAGUUUUGCCAGUGUUCUUGUAUCAGUUAAACUCUUAUAUAAACAAUCUUAGAAGGGCGACUGUUAAAAGAUGUGAGAUAUAAAUCAGCAAUCUCUGUUCCUAAUCACAGUGGAUGCAGAGGUUUCUUUUGAUUUUUAAUGAAGAAGUUUGGAGCUGGAGACUACAAAUAUUUAAAGUUAUUUUGAUGUUAAUUUUUCAAAUUUCCAAGGUAUCUAAGAUGUAGCUAAUAAUAAUAGCAGGCGUUGUCUGUUUCUCCCAGCAUGUGGCAUGAAAGUAGUGUGGUCACAGAGCUAUGCAUUAUUUACAUGGUGUCAACAUGUCAGCAAGUGGUGUGGCAGAGAGCCAGCUUAAAUCACUUCUGAUUUUAAAUACAGGACACUGAAUAAUAACGUUGUGUCACACUUGAGGACACUGGAAUCUGGCAAAUCAACAGUAGCUCAAUGCGUCAAAGUCAUUUGGAAGGCUUCUUCCUUUCCUGAAUGAUCACAGAAUCAAUAUAAAGGUUCAAGGAAACUGUAUAAAGUUGGCAUUUUUUUUUCCUUCCAAAGUGAAAGAAACAGGAAACAGACAUUUUUGAUUGCUUUGUGCAAAGAUGUGUCAUGAGGUCACUGCCCUCAUGCAGGAAUGUUUGCUCCUGAGAAUGGGCAACCACCCCAUGGUGUAUGUUUGCAUUAAUCUUUGCUGUCCUCUCUAUGUGGCAAAUCUGGUAUGAUAAUUUUCAUCCAUUAGUUUUUUGCAGAAUCUACUGUACUAUCUCAAACAG